UGAUGGUAACACUUUUAGCCUGAGUGCAACUGUUGGGAAUGAAAAAUUUGUUCUGUCUGUACCGAUGAAGGAUGAGACUGAUUGUGCCUUCAUUCAAAAGAGAACUGCUGCUGAGCCAGAACUGUUGUUGAACCAGCGCAUUUACACCUGCGAUAAUGCAAAGUGUCCACAUCAUGAUUUUUGCCAUGGAUUUACAGACAGGAAUGCCAGAAACAGUCACCAGUACCUCUGCAAGUAUCAGAAUACAUUUCCUCAAUCUAUUGGUGCGCUGUCAGCUGAGAACUUCCCGGUGAAUGAGAACAAGCCCCCGGUUCUCUCUAUGUCGUCAACCGCUCAACCGACUCCAACUUCACUUGGUCCAAGCCUCAAUCCUAUUAGUGUCUCUGAUUUGGGUAUUCCUUCUGAUGGGCAAAAGUCAAUCAAUGAGUUGAUGGGUUUCUACGACAACAACAUUAGUGGUGACAAGAGCUUGACUCUAGGAAGUGCUUCCGUGUUGGAAGGUUCAAAUUCU
rnacentral:lncRNA from 1 species